rnacentral:rRNA from 1 species
UGGGGAAUAUUGCGCAAUGGGGGGAACCCUGACGCAGCCAUGCCGCGUGAAUGAAGAAGGCCUUCGGGUUGUAAAGUUCUUUCGGUAUUGAGGAAGGUUGAUGUGUUAAUAGCACAUCAAAUUGACGUUAAAUACAGAAGAAGCACCGGCUAACUCCGUGCCAGCAGCCGCGGUAAUACGGAGGGUGCGAGCGUUAAUCGGAAUAACUGGGCGUAAAGGGCACGCAGGCGGUUAUUUAAGUGAGGUGUGAAAGCCCUGGGCUUAACCUAGGAAUUGCAUUUCAGACUGGGUAACUAGAGUACUUUAGGGAGGGGUAGAAUUCCACGUGUAGCGGUGAAAUGCGUAGAGAUGUGGAGGAAUACCGAAGGCGAAGGCAGCCCCUUGGGAAUGUACUGACGCUCAUGUGCGAAAGCGUGGGGAGCAAACAGGAUUAGAUACCCUGGUAGUCCACGCUGUAAACGCUGUCGAUUUGGGGGUUGGGCUUAGAGCUUGGUGCCCGUAGCUAACGUGAUAAAUCGACCGCCUGGGGAGUACGGCCGCAAGGUUA